rnacentral:rRNA from 1 species
UUUUAUUUGAGAGUUUGAUCCUGGCUCAGGAUGAACGCUGGCGGCGUGCCUAACACAUGCAAGUUGAGCGAUUUACUUCGGUAAAGAGCGGCGGACGGGUGAGUAACGCGUGGGUAACCUACCCUGUACACACGGAUAACAUACCGAAAGGUAUGCUAAUACGGGAUAAUAUAUUUGAGAGGCAUCUCUUGAAUAUCAAAGGUGAGCCAGUACAGGAUGGACCCGCGUCUGAUUAGCUAGUUGGUAAGGUAACGGCUUACCAAGGCGACCAUCAGUAGCCGACCUGAGAGGGUGAUCGGCCACAUUGGAACUGAGACACGGUCCAAACUCCUACGGGAGGCAGCAGUGGGGAAUAUUGCACAAUGGGCGAAAGCCUGAUGCAGCAACGCCGCGUGAGUGAUGAAGGCCUUCGGG